rnacentral:rRNA from 1 species
CCCUUAGAUGUUCUGGGCCGCACGCGCGCUACACUGAUGCAUUCAACGAGUCUAAAACCUGGUCUGAUAGGGCUGGGUAAUCUUUUGAAUGUGCAUCGUGAUUGGGAUAGAUGAUUGCAAUUCUUCAUCUUCAACGAGGAAUGCCUAGUAAACGCAAGUCAUCAGCUUGCAUUGAUUACGUCCCUGCCCUUUGUACACACCGCCCGUCGCUCCUACCGAUUGAACGUUUUAGUGAGGCAUUUGGACCGACGCAUCUCAGUUUAACCGCUGGUUUGUGUUGGAAAGACUUCCAAACUUGAGCGUUUAGAGGAAGUAAAAGUCGUAACA